GGCGGUUUGUCCGAGUGGUUAAGGAGUUGGACUUGAAAUCCAAUGGGCUCUGCCCGCGCAGGUUCGAACCCUGCAGCCGUCG
rfam:Eimeria mitis, Houghton, WGS project CBTT01000000 data, contig: Emh_contig10255_2